GAACAGUCAUCGUCAGAAUGUCGGGCAAAGACCAAAUUGAAAUCUUUCCCUUGCGAAUGGCACAGACCAUCAUGAAGGCUCGAUUAAAAGGAGCACAGACAGGUCGAAACCUCCUGAAGAAAAAAUCUGAUGCCCUAACUCUUCGAUUUCGACAGAUCCUAAAGAAGAUCAUAGAGACUAAAAUGUUGAUGGGUGAAGUGAUGAGAGAAGCUGCCUUUUCACUUGCUGAGGCCAAGUUCACAGCAGGGGACUUCAGCACCACAGUUAUCCAAAAUGUGAAUAACGCCCAAGUGAAGAUUCGAGCAAAGAAACAUAAUGUAGCAGGUGUUACCUUGCCAAUAUUUGAACAUUACCAUGAAGGAACUGACAGUUACAAACUGACUGGUUUAGCCAGAGGUGGGGAACAACUGGCUAAAUUAAAGAGGAACUAUGCCAAAGCAGUGGAACUACUGGUGGAACUUGCCUCACUGCAGACUUCCUUUGUUACUUUGGAUGAAGCUAUUAAGAUAACCAACAGGUGGGUAAAUGCCAUCGAACAUGUCAUCAUUCCCAGGAUUGAACGUACCCUUGCUUAUAUCAUCGCAGAGCUGGAUGAGAGAGAGCGAGAAGAGUUCUAUAGGUUAAAGAAAAUACAGGAGAAGAAAAAGAUUCUCAAAGAAAAAACUGAGGAGGGACUUGGAGAAACAGGGUAG